rnacentral:lncRNA from 1 species
UAUAUAUAUAUAUAUAUAUAUAUAUAUCUCCUUUAUGUAUAUAAAUGUAUUUUCUGAUGUUCCCCAUAGCUUUAUUUCUGGUAUGCCCACUUCACAAUUCAUCAUACCUUAUUAGGCAAUCUGUUCUGUAAAGUGAUGUACAUCUGCAUCGCAUGUGUAUUGAAUAUACGAGGCUGUUCAUGAAUGUCUGAAAAUUAAAUUUGAAAGGAAAAAAAAUGUUUAAUAUGGAUUUUCUAUGUCCAUAUAAAGUGAGUUGCAGUCAUUAAGUGCUAAUGACUAACCUGUCAAGAAUGAAUAAAAUGUAAAUUGACGUGGUAUGUAAUGCUAUUUGAAUUGCCAUUUUAGUCCUCCGAAUGGAUUUGAAAUAAAUUCUUUGUAAUGGGUUGCCCACACUGCUGGCAUUGGUUGUGAGCUGCUGAUACCUAAAUUGUUUAUGGGAAGGUGUAGAUGUAAAACGAUGUUAACAGAAUUUUUAUCGAACAUAUAGUCAUGUGGCACACAUGAUUUUAAUAUAAUAAUCUGACACUUUCUUAGGUUUGUUCACCUAAAUUCUAUAUAAGAAAAUGAAGUAAUAGAACCGUUCGUUAUGAAAUUUAUUUGUGAGCAUCAAAUUGAUUUGCUAACUGAAGUGACAAGACUUAAAUUUAAAACCUUUUUUUUUUUCCUACCAUCUUGAGGACAAAUUACUGUCAACAGGCCAGGCUGGUGUUUCCCAAAACAGUCCUCCAUAACCACCAACAGACCAGGUUUUGUCAGUAGCUCCAUUGGAAUAAUACAUGGAAAUGCAUAAAUCCUGGAUUGUUGGUGAGCCAUGAGAAUUGGUUUGGGAACCACUGGUCCAGGCCUUAAAUUCCAAUUUGGUAAAUCCUAUUUGUUCCAUUGUUGACACAGAGCUCUUUUAGAACUAUCAAUAAGAAGAAAGAUGCACAUUCCAUGCUGACAUUGGACCCUUAAGGACCAGUAAUGACCAGAUGCCCUUGGAUGUCAUUGGUCUCAAAUGGAAGAGUAAACAUUUGAUAUGCUAUAUACUACUUUGCAAGUUGCAAUGACUAUAGCUAAUUAGUUUAAAACAAAUUGUUUUUUGGAACAUGUUAAUACCCGCUUUCCAAUGAUGGUGGGGGGAGGUGUAUUUCCUCUACAGUAGUAUAUGUUGUGUUUCCUUAGUAUUCUGCAGACAGCUGUUUGAUCUAUUUAGAGGAGGGAUGUUGACCUUUACUCCCUGAAAACCAGUGAUGACAUCAAGAGAGGCUGGAAGAUGGAAUACAUACUAUGAUAACCUAGUAUGUUAUGGAAUAUAUACUAUGAAGACAUUUUAAAUGUCUACAUACAAGUUUGCAAAGUUUUAUGUAGUAAUAAUAAAGGCAAAAUGUAUCAAAGUACAAUUCAUGAUAAGAGGUUUUAAUGACUUAUGGUAUACACCCGAUAAUGAUUAUGCUACCAUAAUUUUAAGAGUGAUUUUGUUUACAUCAAACUUGGGGAUGUGGUGUCUUUCCACCUGAGCUUGACUAACUCUCCCGUCACUGUCUACAACUCUCGUCGACAUCACCCUCAGUGUUUUUCUGGAUGAUAGCAAACAGAAUUGCCAUCCACUAGGUGGAAGAAAGCAGGUUCAACAUCUGUGCGUGUGAUGUGUUUACCCUAAGGCGUAAUAGUAUUGUCUGCUGUUAAUAAACAAUUACCCUUCAAAGUGUUUUAAUCUACUAGUGCCAAUUUAUCAUGCCAUGCAUUUCUACUCACAUGUCUUUAAAACAUUUUAAAAGCAAUGCAUACUCAGAAGAGCGCUCCAUUUAACGUGACAUAGUUCUCUGUAUUUUACAUUGCUCCUUGCUUUUCAUUGUAUUUGAAACUAUCAUUUUAAAAAUACUUUAAUCUGAGUACUUAAGAACUUCCAUUUUAAUUAUUUCGAUCUGUAUAAACGUUCUUGUUUCUUACUAUUGUAAUAAUUUAAUAUUGAAAUUGUCUAAUUCAUAUAGAGGAACACAAAUAUUUAAUUCCUACACCUACAUGAAGGGUUGUUUUUGUGUAUGAAGGAUAAUUCUAUUUUUACUGUUCAUUUUUGAGUAAUAACAGCUUUUUGCACUAUGUAAAUACUAGUGAAAUUUCUUCCUUAUCUAAUAAACGAAUGAUUGUAGAUAA